UCUAUGGCCAUGCCACCCUGAAUAUGUUUAAUCUCGUCUGAUCUCGGAAGCUAAGCCGGGUCGGGCCUAGUUAGUAUUUGGAUGGGAGACCACCUAGGAAUACCAGGUGCUGAAAGAA
rnacentral:rRNA from 1 species